AGCUCCAAUAGCGUAUAUUAAAGUUGUUGCAGUUAAAAAGCUCGUAGUUGGAUCUCAGGCUCCGGCUGGCGGUUCACUUCACGGUGACUACUGCCCGUCCGGACCUACCCGCCGGUUUUCCCUUGGUGCUCUUUGUUGAGUGUCUCGGGUGGCCGGAACGUUUACUUUGAAAAAAUUAGAGUGUUCAAAGCAGGCCGUGAAGCCUGAAUAAUGGUGCAUGGAAUAAUGGAAUAGGACCUCGGUUCUAUUUUGUUGGUUUUCGGAACUUGAGGUAAUGAUUAAGAGGGACAGACGGGGGCAUUCGUAUUACGGUGUUAGAGGUGAAAUUCUUGGAUCGCCGUAAGACGAACUACUGCGAAAGCAUUUGCCAAGAAUGUUUUCA
rnacentral:rRNA from 1 species